rnacentral:lncRNA from 1 species
CGUCGAGUCCCGGCUCGCCUGCCAGGCCGCUGCGGCACCGAACCCACCGCCGCCCUCGAAUGUCUCCUGCUCCGGGCAGCCCAAGCCAAGGAGGUUUUCCCAAACCAACCUGGCCGUAAUGCAAGAUGAAACCGCAAACUGUGAGCGGAAGCUUCACUGUCCACCAGGCACGGCAGAGACUUGGGGAGAUGGAAACCGGCAAGCUGGUGUUAGCGGAGCGCCGUGACCACAAGCUGCGUGAAGGACAUAGCUUCUUCGCAGUGGAGGCCGCUCAAGUAGCGAGCAAUGCAGCUUCGCAGCCAUGCGUUGCGAGGGAUUUGUUCCUCCAGCUUCUGUGUUACUCCGUUCUCAAACAACUGAAACACGAACAACCAACCUUGCACCUUACAGGAAGAAACUUCCAUGAGCUGGUCUAUGUCUUAGAAGAGUGUAUGUACGUUGUGUAUUGUGUUUAGGUUAUGGUAACACUGUCAAUAUUGUUGCCGUAAGACUUACGACCCAAACAAAUUUUGGAAGUUUUGAAAAGAUGAAUGCUUUAGUGAAUACUUUGAAGAGGGGAAACAUCUUUUUCCUGAUUACUCAUUCCUUGUUUUAGAAUAUACAAUCUCUUGGGAUGCAGUGGUGUGUGAGUCAAUAAUGAGGAGUGGGAAGAGGACUUUUGUGAUUGUCAAACCCAGGAAAAGUUGAUUGUGGUUUCAGUGUUUUUUUUCUCAUUCAUUUAGCAGAAAACAAAGUUUUGAAUUUUAAAAUAUCCACAUGACCUUUAUCUGUCCAGCAGGUCUCUAUUUUAACCCUAAUCGAGUCACAUAAUAAACCUCUGAGUCUUUUUGGAAAAAAAUAAAAG